CCUACGGGAGGCAGCAGUAAGGAAUAUUGGUCAAUGGAGGCAAGUCUGACCCAGCCAUGCCGCGUGCAGGAUGACGGCCCUCUGGGUUGUAAACUGCUUUUAUACAGGAAUAAACCUACCUACGUGUACAUAGCUGACUGUACCGUACGAAUAAGGAUCGGCUAACUCCGUGCCAGCAGCCGCGGUAAUA
rnacentral:rRNA from 1 species